UCGAGAAUCUUCGGCAAUGGGCGCAAGCCUGACCGAGCGACGCCGCGUGGAGGACGAAGGCCUUCGGGUUGUAAACUCCUGUCGAGGGGGAACAAGGGGCGGUGCAGAGCCGUCCUUGAGUGAACCCUGGAGGAAGCACGGGCUAAGUUCGUGCCAGCAGCCGCGGUAAGACGAACCGUGCGAACGUUAUUCGGAAUCACUGGGCUUAAAGCGCGUGUAGGCGGCCCGGCACGUCCGUCGCUGAAAGCCCCCGGCUCAACCGGGGAACGGGCGCGGAUACGACCGGGCUGGAGGGGGGUAGGGGGCGCCGGAACGGCCGGUGGAGCGGUGAAAUGCGUUGAGAUCGGCCGGAACGCCCGUGGCGAAAGCGGGCGCCUGGACCUCGCCUGACGCUGAGACGCGAAAGCCAGGGGAGCGAACGG
rnacentral:rRNA from 1 species